rnacentral:rRNA from 1 species
UACGGAGGGUCCGAGCGUUAAUCGGAAUUACUGGGCGUAAAGCGCACGCAGGCGGUUUGUUAAGCUAGAUGUGAAAGCCCCGGGCUCAACCUGGGAAUUGCAUUUAGAACUGGCAGACUAGAGUUUUGGAGAGGGGAGUGGAAUUCCAGGUGUAGCGGUGAAAUGCGUAGAGAUCUGGAGGAACAUCAGUGGCGAAGGCGACUCCCUGGCCAAAGACUGACGCUCAUGUGCGAAAGUGUGGGUAGCGAACAGG